rnacentral:lncRNA from 1 species
CUAAAUCUUUUGUAUUCAUUUCACAAGAUAUGUAGCUCAAACCAUCAUGUUGUAUCUCCUAAACAUAUACAGUGAUAUAUAUCAAUUAUUUUUCAAUAAAACUGGAAAAAAUUUAAAAAAUCAAUGCUUGUUUUUUUGUUGUUGAGUUUUAGGAGCUCUCUGUGUAUUUGGGAUAUUAAUUACUUAGCAGAUGUAUUACUUGCAAAUAUUACUCCCUUCUGUAGGUUGCCUUUUUUAUCUGUUUUUAUUAGUUUAUAGGUAUUUUCUAAUUUCCCUUAUAAUUUCUUCUUUUAUCCAUUAGUUAUUUGAAAGUGUUUUUUUAACACCUACACAUUUGUGAAUUUUUCAGUUUUCCUGAAACAGUUGUGUCUGUUAGAUAUAGCUGGUUUAUUGUGUUGCUCAAGAACUCUAUUUCCUUACUUACCUUCUAGCCAUGAUUAAGAGCUGAGUAUUGAAGUCUCCCACUAUUAAUAUAAAACUGUCUAUUUCUCCCUGUAGUUCUAUCAACUUUUGGUUUAUAUAUUUUGAGGGUCUGUGCAUAAAUGUUUAUUAUUGUUAUAUAUUCUUACAUUUUUGAAUCUUUAUUUGUAUAUCUUUUGCUGUUUGUGUUCAAUAUGCCAUGUAGAUUUUUCGUACCUCGUUUCUUGCAUUACUAUUUACUUUUGUGUUUAGUUUUUUGUAGUGUAAUGUUUUAAUUUCAUUCUCAUUUUCUCUAUAACUAUUCACUUUGUGGUUACCAUUUUACAUCCUAGUUAUAACACUCCAAUUGAAUUUAUGCUAUCUUAAUGACAAUAACAGAAAAUUAUAUGACGUUACAGUAAUUUGCAGCUCCAGAAUUUCAUUUGGAUUUCUUUUCAUAUUUUCUGUCUUUUUAUUAAUAUUUGCAUUUUGUUUGUACAUUGCUUUCUUGACUUUUUCCAUGUCAUCCACUAGUCCUUCAGGCAUCUUUAAGCCUUUGCUAUUUUUUAGAUGUGGGGUUUGAGGGUAUUCACACUACUUAAGUCAGUUUUCUUUAUCUGUAAAAUGAGGAUUAUACAUUUAUCCUCAUUGGGCUAUUUUUGAACAUGUAGGAGUUCCAGGAGAUAAUUGCUUGGAUUAUUGAUGAAUAUUUAAAUGUAUGUCUGUGCACGAAUUACCGUAUCUUGAUCUUUUUUAAGAUGAUGUUACUGAUGAGGAUCAGAAUCCAGUAGGAUACAUUGAACCAAAGAGGUGAUUGUCCAUAAUUUUUUCUGACUAACACCACAUUCACAUACACUCUUGCUGUGCCUAAAAAAGUCUAGAUUUUCAGAUCUUUCUACAAGACAUGAUCUCCUGAGAAUUCAUCUUCAAACAAAACUUUCAAGUUGCUACUUGGUGACACAGUCUUCUAAAUGUGUGCUCUGUAUCAAAACGUGGCCAGUGUUAGCCAGAACAGUAAGAGCUAAGUUCUGUUCUCCUUUUGUUCGACCAAACAGUGUCCCAAGCAAGUUAACUAUAGUAGAAAGAUCAGGAGUAUCCAAUCUCUAAAUGACAAAUGCAUUAUUCCCUUGACUUUUAUGUGUAUAAACCAUCUGUCAAAUUGAAUUGUGUGGGCACUUGCCAUUGUGCCCGUCAUCAUGAGUUGCUUACUUGUGUAGAAUUAUUAGAAUGUAAUUUUAUGUUUAUGAAAUUUUGGCCUUUCUGGAGAGUCUCAUAUCGAGGACCCAGUUGAGAUGAGGAGGUAACAAGGAAGGCAUUUUAAAUGGUACAGAAGAAGCCACAAUGAUCAAAAUAAGUGCAAAGUAAGUUACACCAAUAGUUGUUUUUUUAGUGCUUGAAAGAGUAGCAGUGACCUCACUUUAAAAACCCAAAGGCGAAAGAUAUGUAAACAUGAAAUAUAUAUGUUUAUUAUUACACACAUUUUCCUCCUUGUUAUCCUCCAACUGUAAGAGGUUGUAAUGCAUAGGCUUUCCUGGCAUAAGACAGCUGUUGGAUAUGUCUCAGUGUGGAGUGCUAUUUUACAGUCGCUAGCAAGAAUAUUAGAACCAACCUUUUUUUCUCUAAAUGCUUCUUGGGAAAGGUACAUUAAUUAAGACAGUGGCCAAACUAGUUCUAUAAGACUGCAGUAUUUUGUCUUUAAAAAAUCAGAUAUUAAAAAAAAUUAUGUAAUGUAUAUUAUGAAUAUAAAAUAAGGUAAUGUAUAGUCUAGUAUACAAUGUAAAGUUAUAUAAUGUAAAUAAUGGCUAAAAAUCUGAAAAAGUAAAUAUAAAAUGAAUUGAUAUGAAGUUGAACAAAUAUCACAAUCAACAUACUUUUUCUACCCUUACUCUUCUGAAAUACUUAAUUUUAUUAAUUAAAAAUGCACUAUUUUACAGAGUUCAUAGGAAACAUUAUUUUCCAUAAUUUGAAGUAUUAUUUUUUUUCUUUAUUUGGCUGUGCCUGUGGCAUGUGGAAGUUCCCGGCCAGAAGUAGCAGCAAAUUGAGCCCUUGCAGUGACAGCACUGGAUCCUUACCCCAUUUAACCACAAGGGAACUCCUGAAAUAUGUAUUUUUAAAGUACAAGGUAUUGCAGUAUUUAUAAUUCACUUCAUUUUAAAAACAAUUUGUGGCACCUUACAGAACAAAUAAUACAACAUAAAGAAAAAAUAAGGACAUUAGGAAGAAGGAAAAAUAACGGUAGAAGAAUUAAGUGAAAUAAAGGGCAAGGUUACUGCAUGUAUCUGCCUGCAAACAUCCCAUAGACCAAAACAAAGAAUAAAACAUAGUCAAUUGCAAAAGUCAAUGUCGAUGGAAUUAAAAUAUGACAAUGGAUCCAUAGAAUAACUUUCCUGGGUUUUGAGGCUAUAGAUGUGUCACUGAGUGGAGUAAAGUUUUCACAUUGAAUACCAUUUUUAUGAAAGCACCACAGUACAUUAUAAGAUUUCAGACUUGUCUCAUAAUAAUCCUUAACCUAUCAAAGUAUAAUAGAUUAAAACUAAUUCCAUGAGGAGAUCCAAAUAAGAGUAAUUAGACAGCUGCAUGGUGGUCCAUCUUAGUCAAAAGAAGAAAUAGAAUUAGAAUUCAGAAGAUGAAAGGUGGGGAGUGUGAAUUAAUAGCAAAAUUACUUUUUUGAAUAAAACCUUGCAAGUGUUCUUUGUUUCUUGCAGCCAAAAGAUCCUAACUGGCAAAAUCAUGAAGGCAGACAUUAUAUUUUAGUAGUGAUCAUAUAAGAAUAACUUGAAUAUUUAUUAUAGCUACAUUUAGUGAUGAGGCAUGAUAACAAUGCCUUUUUCAAUUAAAACAAAAGUCUCAUUAUCAACAAACUACUCUUUUAAGGUAUCUUAUGGCUAGGUUUUUUUCUUUAAACAAAAUUUAUUUAUUUAUUUAUUUUUCUUAUUUUCAAUGUCUGUCCCUAACCAUUUGUUAUGCUUAUUGAUAAAAGUACUU